UUGGUGGAGCCAAUGGGUUUAAUUCGAAGCAACGCGAAGAACCUUACCAGGUCUUGACAUCCUUUGACCACUCUAGAGAUAGAGCUUUCCCCUUCGGGGGACAGAGUGACAGGUGGUGCAUGGUUGUCGUCAGCUCGUGUCGUGAGAUGUUGGGUUAAGUCCCGCAACGAGCGCAACCCUUGACCUUAGUUGCCAGCAUUCAGUUGGGCACUCUAAGGUGACUGCCGGUGACAAACCGGAGGAAGGUGGGGAUGACGUCAAAUCAUCAUGCCCCUUAUGACCUGGGCUACACCUGCCUACAAUGGAA
rnacentral:rRNA from 2 species